GGCCUUCACAUCUAGUAAUGGCUCACUGCUGCAAGUUCAACAUCAUAUCCACCAAGGAAGAAAAGGAAGCAACAGAGUGUAACAUGGUUCACCAUGCUAGCACAUGGCGCCUGCACAUCUGCUCUGCAGCACAGCCAAGAAGGAACAGAGAGGAAUAGGGAUAGGGGGAAGUGGUGACUUGUAAAGGUAUUGAAUUACCCAAUUACCAU